GAAUUCGCCCUUAGAGUUUGAUCCUGGCUCAGGACGAACGCUGGCGGCGCGCCUAACACAUGCAAGUCGAACGGAGCUUAGAGAGCUUGCUUUUUAAGCUUAGUGGCGAACGGGUGAGUAACGCGUGAGUAACCUGCCCUAGAGUGGGGGACAACAGUUGGAAACGACUGCUAAUACCGCAUAAGCCCACGGUACCGCAUGGUACUGAGGGAAAAGGAUUUAUUCGCUUUAGGAUGGACUCGCGUCCAAUUAGCUAGUUGGUGAGGUAACGGCCCACCAAGGCGACGAUUGGUAGCCGGACUGAGAGGUUGAACGGCCACAUUGGGACUGAGACACGGCCCAGACUCCUACGGGAGGCAGCAGUGGGGGAUAUUGCACAAUGGGGGAAACCCUGAUGCAGCGACGCCGCGUGGAGGAAGAAGGUCUUCGGAUUGUAAACUCCUGUUGUUGAGGAAGAUAAUGACGGUACUCAACAAGGAAGUGACGGCUAACUACGUGCCAGCAGCCGCGGUAAAACGUAGGUCACAAGCGUUGUCCGGAAUUACUGGGUGUAAAGGGAGCGCAGGCGGGAAGACAAGUUGGAAGUGAAAUCUAUGGGCUCAACCCAUAAACUGCUUUCAAAACUGUUUUUCUUGAGUAGUGCAGAGGUAGGCGGAAUUCCCGGUGUAGCGGUGGAAUGCGUAGAUAUCGGGAGGAACACCAGUGGCGAAGGCGGCCUACUGGGCACCAACUGACGCUGAGGCUCGAAAGUGUGGGUAGCAAACAGGAUUAGAUACCCUGGUAGUCCACGCUGUAAACGAUG
rnacentral:rRNA from 1 species